rnacentral:rRNA from 1 species
UACGGGGGGAGCAAGCGUUGUUCGGAUUUACUGGGCGUAAAGAGCUCGUAGGCGGUCUGUCGCGUCGAAUGUGAAAACCCGGGGCUCAACCCCGGGCCUGCAUUCGAUACGGGCAGACUAGAGUUCGGUAGGGGAGUCUGGAAUUCCUGGUGUAGCGGUGAAAUGCGCAGAUAUCAGGAGGAACACCGGUGGCGAAGGCGGGACUCUGGGCCGAUACUGACGCUGAGGAGCGAAAGCGUGGGGAGCGAACAGG